rnacentral:lncRNA from 1 species
GAGAGCCCUUAUGCAAAAGAGUUCCCGUUCAUGAACAAACAACAUGUUAAAGUGGGAAGGUCAGGUUCGGCCACAGAGUGCCAGUGAUGUUCAUAACUGAUACUUGGGAUGAAGGAAGCUUGACUUACAUUUACCAAUUCUCAGAGGGUAAAUACGCUUCUGGUGGCUUCAGGCUGCACCAGAGACCAAAAUGAAAGGCAGAAGAGUGAAUAGCACGGUGGGCUUUGCUAAGCCAGGAUGAGCCUGACUCUCCAUGCUAUGGCCCAGAAGACACAGGAUUGAAGACGCAAACAAUAAACAAAUAAGAAAAAUAAAAUAAAGCCUCUCACACUGCACCAUGGGAAGGUCUCGGUGGCUGCUUCCCCGUGUGUUACCUCAGCCUGAAACUUCUGUGAGGAAUGACUGUCUCUGUUGUUUGUUUGGUUUGUUGGCACCAGUGGGGGAAGGAGGCCAGAGAGAGUUCAAAAGUCCAGCUGCUCAGCAAAUCAGCUCUUCCUCCAUACCACCCUGCCUCUGUGGUCACUGGACUUGGAGCUCCAAGGGGCCCCAGAGCUAAGCAUAUCGACUUGUCCAGUGAUGACUGCUGCAAACCUGUAAUCCCAGCACUGGGGAGGAGGAGGUAGUAUAUCCCUGGGGAUCACUGGCCUGCCAGACCAGCCUACUUCAUGAGCUCCAGGCCAAUGAGAGAUAGUCUCAAAAUAACAAAAAGCAAAACAAAAGCAAUAGACAGUGUCUGAAGAACAACACCUAACAUUGUCAUUCACUCUCAGCAUGCACACACACACAUCACACCCAUACACAUGGGCAUACACACACACACACACAUCACACCCAUACACAUGGGCAUACACACACACACACACAUCACACCCAUACACCUGGGCAUACACAUACACAUACAUCACACCCAUACACCUGGG